rnacentral:rRNA from 1 species
GACGAACGCUGGCGGCGUGCUUAACACAUGCAAGUCGAACGAGAAUCUGUGGAAAGAGGAUUCGUCCAAUUGAAGCAGAGGACAGUGGCGGACGGGUGAGUAACGCGUGAGGAACCUGCCUUUCAGAGGGGGACAACAGUUGGAAACGACUGCUAAUACCGCAUGACACAUCGGGGUCGCAUGGCUCUGAUGUCAAAGAUUUANCGCUGAAAGAUGGCCUCGCGUCUGAUUAGCUAGUUGGUGAGGUAACGGCCCACCAAGGCGACGAUCAGUAGCCGACCUGAGAGGGUGAUCGGCCACAUUGGGACUGAGACACGGCCCAAAACUCCUACGGGAGGCAGCAGUGGGGGAUAUUGCACAAUGGAGGAAACUCUGAUGCAGCGACGCCGCGUGAGUGAAGAAGUAUUUCGGUAUGUAAAGCUCUAUCAGCAGGGAAGAUAAUGACAGUACCUGACUAAGAAG